UACGGAGGGUGCAAGCGUUAUCCGGAUUCACUGGGUUAAAAGGGUGCGUAGGCGGGCAGGUAAGUCAGUGGUGAAAUCUCCGGGCUUAACCCGGAAACUGCCGUUGAUACUAUCUGUCUUGAAUAUCGUGGAGGUAAGCGGAAUAUGUCAUGUAGCGGUGAAAUGCUUAGAUAUGACAUAGAACACCCAUUGCGAAGGCAGCUUACUACACGAUCAUUGACGCUGAGGCACGAAAGCGUGGGGAGCAAACAGG
rnacentral:rRNA from 1 species